UAGUCCACGCUGUAAACGAUGGUUACUAGCUGUUUGGGAGCAAUCCUGAGUGGCUAAGCGAAAGUGAUAAGUAACCCACCUGGGGAGUACGAUCGCAAGAUUGAAACUCAAAGGAGUUGACGGGGGCCCGCACAAGCGGUGGAGCAUGUGGUUUAAUUCGAUGAUACGCGAGGAACCUUACCAGGGCUUAAAUGUGGAUUGACAGGUUUAGAGAUAGACUUUUCUUCGGACAAUUCACAAGGUGCUGCAUGGUUGUCGUCAGCUCGUGCCGUGAGGUGUCAGGUUAAGUCCUAUAACGAGCGCAACCCCUGUUGUUAGUUACCAGCACGUAGUGGUGGGGACUCUAACAAGACUGCCGGUGCAAACCGUGAGGAAGGUGGGGAUGACGUCAAAUCAUCACGGCCCUUACGUCCUGGGCUACACACGUGCUACAAUGGUAGGUACAGAGAGCAGCCACUACGCAAGUAGGAGCGAAUCUAUAAAACCUAUCUCAGUUCGGAUCGGAGU
rnacentral:rRNA from 1 species